GACGCCAUUAGUAGUAGAAGGCCGGGGGCGGAGUCGGCUACGGGAGCGAAGGGUUAGAAGGGAGAGGAAGCAGCUAUUAUUUCUUUCUCUCCGUGAUUCCAGUAGUAUACGUUCUACUUGUCCGACUUAUUGUUAUCAAAAACGUAAGCCAUGAUUUCUGAAGACGAUGAAGCCAUGAUGGAGGCUACUACUGCUGAGACAGAGGAGACUGGGCAAAACGAAGGGGUGAAGAUUGAUGCUAGUAAGACCGAAGAGGAUGAGGGGAAGAUGUUUAUAGGAGGCCUUAGCUGGGAUACUACAAAGAAAGACCUGAAAGAUUAUUUUUCAAAAUUUGGAGAGGUUGUAGACUGUACCUUGAAAUUGGACCCUAUCACUGGAAGAUCUCGUGGCUUUGGCUUUGUAUUGUUUAAGGAAUCUGAAGGCGUUGACAAGGUAAUGGAACAGAAGGAGCACAAGCUGAAUGGUAAAGUUAUAGACCCAAAGAGGGCAAAGGCAAUGAAGACAAAAGAGCCUGUCAAGAAGAUAUUUGUAGGGGGUUUAUCUCCAGACACACCUGAAGAGAAGAUAAGAGAGUAUUUUGGAACGUUCGGAGAGAUUGAAGCCAUAGAACUUCCAAUGGAUAACAAGACUAACAAAAGACGUGGAUUCUGCUUCAUCACAUUUAAGGAGGAAGACCCAGUAAAGAAGAUAAUGGAAAAGAAAUACCACAAUGUUGGCCUCAGUAAAUGUGAAAUUAAGGUGGCAUUGUCAAAGGAACAGUAUCAGCAGCAGCAGCAGUGGGGGACAAGGGGUGGAGGCUCAUCAUCUAGGCCCCGUGGAAGAGGAGGUGUAAGUCAGACCUGGAGCCAGGGAUAUAGUAACUACUGGAAUCCAAGCUACAGCAGUUAUGGAUACAACAACCAGGGGUAUGGAGGUUAUGGGAACUAUGACUACUCUGGUUACAACUACUAUGGCUAUGGAGACUAUAGUAAUCAGCAGAGUGGUUAUGGGAAAACAGCCAGACGAGGUGGUCAUCAAAAUAGUUACAAACCAUACUAAAUUAUUCAAUUCACAACGUGUCAUAAACAGCGGGGAAUUCAUUGCAGGCCCUGUGUCGCGCUGACUUCACGAUUCUCACAGGCCCGCUCAAUGCGGACAGGGUACGAGAUGCUCACGCUCUCGAAUGCUGCCGUUUGGUGAACAAGCAGUAUUUUCUGGGUUGAAGAAUGAUUUGAGGUGGCUCAUUCUGCAUGCAUAUAGCAGUGCAAAUUAUGUUUCUUCCCCCCCUCCCCCCCCCUUUUUUUUUUGUUUGUUUUUGCAAAACCCUUAAAAAGGGAUGUAGUGAAAAUUAUUUUAUAGGAUUCACCUAGCUGUCUUAUUUUCUAAUAGCUUUGCUUGUUUAAAAAUUGUGUUCACUUUAUUCACCAGCAUGGAAGAAGAAAUCUUGUGUUUAUGAACUUUGUAUGCCUGUGUCAUAAUGUAAGCUUUUUUCCCCUUUAAUAAAUAUUCCUUUAAAAUUUUUUAUAUAAA